GGGCACAUGGUGUAGGUGGUUUAUCACGCUCGCUCAGCAUGCGAGAAUGUCCGGUUCAAAUCCGAACGUGUCCA